rnacentral:lncRNA from 1 species
CCAGAGUUGACUGUAGGGUAGUAGUUCCGUGGCUGUUUUGAUGAACUGUGAUUAAAAAUGCAAAGGUCCUCUUCCCAGUAGGUGGGAAGGAGUCCAGUGAAACCCUGUGACCUGGAAGAAGUGAGGAUUGGAAGAUACCAUCUGUAUGGGGCAUUGCUUCAGACCAGAAGAGUGCUUGUCUAAGGUGCCUUCCCCUGGUUUGGGGGACUCUUUGGAGACAGCGUAUUUUCCAGUGCCUGAGGCCAAGCCUUUUAUUUUGCUCCAGUGGUGGGCGAGGGAGGAAGUCUUUUUCCA